GCGAGCUAAUGGAGCAUUGUACUACAAACGUUAGGCUAGUGUAUGUGUACACUGUCGUAUCGCAUGGGUAAGUUUACCUGGGUGACUAUAGUGUGUGGUUUUAAUGACUGUCAAUGUAUUUUGAUGCUAUUGUUGUGACAUAAGGACGUGGCAAUAAGGUAUAGUGGUAUAUGUGUAUAGUUUUUAACCACGGAUAUUCGUCAAGACUGAAUGGUGUAACUUGUAUGCAGAUUGCACAAUAAUGAAGAAUGCGGUUCAGUGAUCUACCCAACUAUGCGGAUCAAACAUGGUCGACAUCAUCUAAAAAUAUGUGGAUAGGAAUAGGAAUCUCCUAUCGCGUCGUCAUGUGGUUUCCCCACUAAUCGUAAGGAAUAUUUAACUUGUACAUGUACGAACGUUUUAGAAUGUUCGAGAACAACCAUCUAAUAUAGACAGUGCGAGGGAAAUUCCGUGACGUCAUCAUUACUUGGGUGGAGCGUCUUAGGUUGAACAGGAUGGAGGUAAGGAUUAUAUAAGCGGGGGACUGCGCCAGAACCAUCACUCUCCCUACUACUGUUACAUGGGGAUAUUGUUAAGAGAACACUUCCGUCUGAAGUGAUGAUAAAUAUAUAGGUACGUGUACAAGAUUGGAAAGAUAAACACCGAUAGACAAUUACAUAAAGAUUGUGAUGAUGGAUACUUUUAUCUGUAAGGUUGAUAGACAAUUACAUGAGGAUUGUAAGUAUGGACUCUUCCGACACACAUAUGUAUUACGACUAAAAAGAUGGACUCUUCCGCCUGCAGGAAUGAUAACAAUUACAUGAUGACUGUACAGAUGGAUUCUUCAGUCUACAGUGAUGAUAAACAAAUGCAUGAUAACUGUAAAGAUGGACUCUUUCGUCCGAAAUGAGCCGGUGAACAUUCAUAUAAGGACUUCAAAGAUGGAAGCGUCUGUCUAUAAUGUAACACACUAGCAGGAAGACAGUUAGGACGGUGUUGUCAAUGAGAUAUGUCUAUGAUGUGACACACUAGCAGGAAGACAGUUAUGACAGUGCUGUCAAUGAAAUAUGUCUAUAAUGUGACACACUAGCAGGAAUACAGUUAUGGCAGUGUUAUCAAUGAGAUUGACGCGUCUGUUUAUACUGACAAGUGUACCGCGCAUCAGUGAUUUUCAUGAUUAUACAUCUGCUUAAAUUUAAAGCAACAACAAUAUGUCUGCCUCUACCUUCCGUCAGAUCAACAAGUCGACCUUUGAACACAUCAAAUAUGGUGAACCAUGUCCUUUACCUCGUGUUAUAACUCAGAUGCUCCGUGAGUCAUGGUUCUACAUAGUCCAAGACAACAUUUCCCAGCGUCUGGUACAGUAUCUUGAUGACUGCCACGGUAACGAGGAAAUAGUGAAGAACAGGAGAAAGGUUAAAACCAUCAGAGAGUACAUAGAAAAAAAUUCAAAUAGCGGUUUACUGAAUAUGAUCAGUGGUGGAAGUAUUGGGGACGGGUUUCGCAUAGUCACCUCAGAUUUAGACGUAAUGCACUCCCUGGAAACUGUAGUGGUAACCUAUCCAGAUCAUAUGAACCUCAUACCUUGUAACAGUGAAAACAAGACAAUUCUGUUAAUGAGGGAAGCUGGUUGCAGACCUGGGUAUGUUAACCUUGAAAUAUUUCAAAUUGGAGAUGAAGAGGGGAGCAAUUCCCGAUUUCAAAAAGCGGUUAUUCCUGUUGGUGAUUUGUAUGUUUUAUCUAGUGAUAUCUAUAGACAAGAGACCGUGGCAACUAUCAGUAGGGCAACUGGUGCGGAUUUUGUUUCCAAUGGACCAUGUACCACUCUAUUCUUGCAUGGUAAUGCAAUAAGCCUUGAUUUAGCAUUCUCAUUUCCGUGUGUAUGUUGGCCGCGGGUAGCUAAUGAAUGGAAAUACCGAAGUCGCCUUCAUGGUUGGCCAUCUCAGACAAUGAUUCACAGGAUUGUUCAAGGUGGGUGUCAUCUCGUACCUGUUGGUGAUAAGUGUUCAACAGACACGCUGCUACAAUGGAGGAUUUCAUUUGCCUGUGCAGAACAACUAUUAGUUCAUUCUCUCACUCAUCCGCAGUUCAGGGUAUACGGAUUACUGAAGUAUUUCCUUUACCAGAUCAAAGACUUGCUGGACCAUAUUAUUGGGGAUAGUGAUAUCCUUUGUUCAUAUUUUCUAAAAACGGUUAUCUUUUAUGCCGUUGAAAAUUCACCACAUUUGCUAUGGGAUGAUCAAAACACAUUUAUAUGUUUUCGGUUCUGCCUGUCUAUUUUGAUUGUUUGGGUCAAAUCGAGUUAUUGUCCAAACUAUUUCAUCAGAAGAAACAACAUGUUUUUGAGGAAAGUUCAUGGGGAAAACCGUGAAAAACUGCUUCAUUUUCUUAUUGAUCUCUAUUACCUAAACUGGAUGUGUUUGUCAAUAGAAUCGGUCAAUACUCCAAACAUCGGAGUAAUGCUCCAACAACACCAAAGUUUGAAAUCAAUACAACAUUUGGAAUGUCUGAGGGACUUGGACCUUUUUCGGGAAUGUUUGUUUCGUUUAACGCCGGUAGGUAACGAGAAAAAAAAGCUGUACCUUUCAAUGAAACACCUCCUUGAGGCUAAAACGGAUGUGGAUGAGUUCAUUGCUUACUGUGUAAUGACUACUACACUUUACGAAAUAGCCUGCACAUUGUUUAACGUGUAUACCAAUAUUAAAAGCAACAAACAGAAGUAUUUAGCCCUUAAGAAAUGUAAGCAAUUACUGGCGCGGCAAGCGUCGGUAUGUACCAGUCCGGGACUGAUGUUUUUAGCAACGUUUUACUACCUCACAGGAGAUUACAAGAACACAAUUAGAAUGUGUGCAGAAAUGACGUCGACAUUUAAGCUAUACAUUGGCCAAUCCAUAACAGAAACUGAAGAAUCUAGAGAACAAUACCAAAGGUUUUACUGUGGACAGGGAUACCCGUUACACAAGAGGUUUAAAGAAGGGGUGUAUUCGUGUUUGUGCUUUGCUCAAGUAAGCCCUUCACUAUGCUUACCUCAUCUACUUCCUGAAGUUUUCAAACAUAUAGUUGUAACAAUUCCACCACUAGCGUAUGCACGCUUCCUUUCCUUCCUGUGUUACCACGACCUUGGUGACAUAAGGAGACGUGACACAGAACUCACCAACCUUCGGGCUGUGAACUACGACCCUGUACAAGGGGGACACGAAUACUGGAUAGUACACACAUUGCUAGGGAUCUGUUACCAAACUGUGGGUGACAAUCGCAGGGCGAUCAGGUCAUUUACGGACUCUCUACGUAGCAUACCUGAUGAUAACGCUGCUAAAGAGAGAAUAGAGGCUCUGCGGAAGUCUGAGUAGACACAAUAGCAUAAUGAUAGCACAUAUGUUGGAUACAAUCCAAGCUUAAAUAACGUCGACAACAACACAUUUUAAUAUGUAAGCAGUUAAUAUUUUCUUAAUAUUUAUUCACAGCAAAACAGUGCAUAUUUAUUGUAUGUUAUUCGUAAUCAUUUACGAGUACUGUUAACUAUUAUAUAUUAGGAAUGACUGCACAAUAGCGAAUGCUACUCGAAAUGUCCUUCAAGAACGAUAUUUCCCUUAUAAAAUCCCUACUUCGAAAUCUUACCCUACCAAACUUUCCCAUUCCCUCCUAUUGAUGUUUGACAUCUAAAAUUCCACUAAAAAAACAUUGUGUUUGUGAUUGGAAGCAUGUAAAAUAUAAAAAAAUAAGAAAAUAACACCAAUGCUGUGGUACUUGCUUGAAAUUAUCACAACAACAAUCUUACCAACAUGCAUCUCCCCGAAUACGGCAACGAGUGUGACCAUGACCAUUGGGCUAUACCGACUAUGCGUUGUUUACUUGUAAAAAAUACACAAUGAUCUUGCAUGGCUUAUACAUAUGCUAUAAGAACGUAGAUUGAUUAUUGCUGUUCAUUUUGUUAUGUUCCCUAUAGGAACUUUGUAAUAGAAUAUAUCUGUUAUAGGUACAUGUUGUAUAAAAAUAGCUUUAUGAGGCCAUCCCGACAAUUGAAACAAGGCUGAUGUCAUGCUGUUUGAAAGGUCACCGUUUUCAACAUUUCCAAAGCAUUUGUAUGACCAAGGUAUUUUAAUGUUUGAAUGUAAGGCCUCAUCAGGGCUACAUGUACCAGAAAUAUGUCAUCCCCACAUCAUUUGUAUUGCCAAGGUUCUUCAAUGUUUGAAUGUAUGACCCCAUCAGCGUUAUAUAUACCAGGAAUAUGACAUCCCCACAUUAUUUGUAUUGCUAAGGUUUUUCAAUGUAUGGCCCCAUCAGCGUUAUAUAUACCAGGAAUAUGACAUCCCCACAUUAUUUGUAUUGCUAAGGUUUUUCAAUGUAUGACCCCAUCAGCGUUAUAUAUACCAGGAAUAUGACAUCCCCACAUUAUUUGUAUUGCCAAGGUUCUUCAAUGUUUGAAUGUAUGACCCCAUCAGCGUUAUAUAUACCAGGAAUAUGACAUCCUCACAUUAUUUGUAUUGCCAAGGUUCUUCAAUGUUUGAAUGUAUGACCCCAUCAGCGUUAUAUAUACCAGGAAUAUUACAUGCCCACAUUAUUUGUAUUGACAAGGUUCUUCAAUGUUUGAAUGUAUGACCCCAUCAGCGUUAUAUACACCAGGAAUAUUACAUGCCCACAUUAUUUGUAUUGCCAAGGUUCUUCAAUGUUUGAAUGUAUGAUCUCAUCAGCGUUAUAUAUACCAGGAAUAUGACAUCCCCACAUUAUUUGUAUUGCCAAGGUUCCUCAAUGUUUGAAUGUAUGACCCCAUCAGUUUUAUAUAUACCAGGAAUAUGACAUCCCCACAUUAUUUUUAUUGCCAAGGUUCUUCAAUGUUUGAAUGUAUGACCUCAUCAGCGUUAUAUAUACCAGGAAUAUGACAUCCCCACAUAUUUGUUUAGGUCCAAUCAACAUAACCCUGGAUAGGACUUCCCCAACAUGUCUGUAUGAUAAGGAGUUUAACAUGUGCGGACAUUCCUUUCAUCAAAACUUUAAGGUACAUGUAGUGGAAUACUUGCUCCAAUAAGUCGUCAUAGUAGUGUUCUACACUUUGCAACUCGUGUGUGUGAAUUUAGAUUGCUUUAUUGAAAGAACAGGUCCGGAUAUUGGUGUUAUAAUUAUAGGCUCUUUAUUAGAAGCGGAUUAUAUCGAACAAAUGAAAAUUAAAUCAAUUAUAUCUGGAGCCAAACAGUUGAUUUAAAACAAUGGGAAAUUUUGACAAUACUAAAAUAUAUACAUUAACGAGUUGAGAGCAUGUCCAUUGUGACUGAUUAACAAAUGGUGACGUAAUGUCGAAUAAGAUUUGUUUUUUCAAUUGUAGUUUUUCUAUGAUUUUUUAAAAAGUACAAUGCAUGUUUCCCUAGGGAGACUUUUCUUAGGUAUAGGGUGUAGCUUUUGAAUUUUAUUACUUUUUUUGUCAGUAAGAGAUCGAAUUCCGUCAACCCGAUAAAUCUGCUCUCACACAGUGACAGAUAUCAAAAGUGACAUUUGUCGAAGUUUGAAAAUAUCUCUUUGGGUAUUGACCAAUCGAAAAAUCUCUUUCUAGUAACUUCAUUUAAAUCCACAGAUUCGUUGUUCAGAUACAUAUAAAACGACGGGAUGAUAAAAGGAUGUGUUGAUACAUCUUCGCUGCAUAAACUAAGGUAUUGAUACUGAUAGGAUAUGACGCCAGCGAUUAACCUUCUAUGCAGUAACAUUGUCGUAGUUGUAAAUAGUUAUAAAAUGCAAUAGAUUUACAAUAUUUUGGUUUUCUUGUUGAAUACUGUAAAUAUUUCGUUCGUAUUGCAAAUAUACUGAUACUUUCACUCGUGCGUCACACACGUGAAAAUUGGUUUUCUGCUAUAAUGUGAAUCUAUUAUAAUUUUAGUUUACACACAAUACAUUUAUCUCUGUACAUUUUUUCAUUAAUCAUCUAUGUUUAAAUUUACUGUAUAGAUUGCAUAUGUUGGAUGUGUGGUCUUCUACUUACUUAUUUCAUCUUAUGUAAAGAGCGUUUAGGUAUGGUCAGUUUGCUUGAUUAAAAGUGUCUGUAGCGGGGAGACAGAGAUGGGAGGGUGCCUGGGUGGGGGUAUGAGUACAUAGGAGCCUGGAGUAUUUAAAGUUUAUCAAAUACUCGUUUUGGCCUCUCAAAUUGUUGGGGACAACAAUUUGUAUACCCCCAAUUCAGAUAAUUGGAUGGAUAAAGAUAAUGGGUAGAAGUCUACCUGUAGUUUAACAAUAUAUGGUAGAAGUCUACCAGUGUAACAUUAGAUGGUAGACGUCUACCAGAGUAACAUUAAUUGGUAGAAGUCAACCAGCUUAACUAUCAUAGAUGUUAGAAGUCUACCAGUUUUAGCAAUAGAUGGUAGAAGUCUACCAGGUUAACAAUAGAUGGCAGAAGUCUACCAGUUUUAACAAUAUAUGGUAGAAGUCUACAAUUUUAAAUAUCGGUAGGUAAAAGUGUAUCAGUGUCGCAUAAGAUGGUAGAAGUCUACCAGUGUAACAUUAGAUAGUAGACGUCUACCAGUUUAACUAUAAUAGAUGUUAGAAGUUUACCAGUUUUAACAAUAGAUGGUCGAAGUCCACCACUUUAACUAUAUAUGGUAGAAGUCUACCAGUGUCGCAUUAGAUAGUAGACGUCUACCAGUUUAACUAUAAUAGAUGUUAGAAGUCUACCAGUUUUAACAAUAGAUGGUAGAAGUCUACCACUUUAACUGUAUAUGGUCGAAGUCUACGAGUGUCGCAUUGUAUGGUAGACGUCUACCAGUUUAACUUUAAUAGAUGUUAGAAGUCUACCAGUUUUAACAAUAGAUGGUAGAAGUCCACCACUUUAACUAUAUAUGGUAGAAGUCUACUAGUUUUAACAUUAGAUGGUAGACGUUUACCAGUGUAACAUUAAUUGGUAGAAGUCUACCAGCUUAACUAUUAUAGAUGUUAGAAGUCUACCAGUUUAGCAAUAGAUGGUAGAAGACUACCGUUUUAACUAUAGGUUGAUAGAAGUCUACAAUUAUUAAUAUAGGUAGGUAGAAGUCUACCAGUUUAACAAUAUAUGGUAGAAGUCUACCAGUUAUAACUAUAGGUUUGUAGAAGUCUUCCAGUUUAACAAUAUAUGGUAGAAGUCUACCAGUUGAUUUAUAUAUAUAAAUAGAUUCGUACGAGUAGCCCCCGAGAAAUCACUGUUAUGUUGUUGUGUAGGGUUGGUAAGAAAGGUUUAUGUAGGUCUGUAAAGUGUUGUAGAAUAUUUUAUGCAUAUGCUUGUGUGGAACAUUGUAAGAACAAUGUGAAAUUAUGGUUACUAUGAUUAAAACAUGUUUACUGUUA
rnacentral:misc_RNA from 1 species